AUUGAACGCUGGCGGCAGGCAUAAAACAUGCAAGUCGAACGAGUGGCGGACGGGUGAGUAAUGUCUGGGAAACUGCCCGAUGGAGGGGGAUAACUACUGGAAACGGUAGCUAAUACCGCAUACCAUCGGAUGUGCCCAGAUGGGAUGAGCUUGUAGGUGAGGUAACGGCUAACCUAGGCGACGAUCCCUAGCUGGUCUGAGAGGAUGACCAGCACCACGGAGAUUGACAUAAGGUCCAGACUCCCACGUGAGGCAGCAGUGGGGAAUAUUGCACAAUGGGCGCAAUCCUGAUUCAGCCAUGCGGCGUGUAUGAAGAAGGCCGUCGGGUUGUAAAGUACUUGCAGCGGGGAGGCGUUACCCGCAGAAGAAGCACCGGCUAACUCCGUGCCAGCAGCCGCGGUAAUAC
rnacentral:rRNA from 1 species